CAAUAGCGUAUAUUAAAGUUGUUGCAGUUAAAAAGCUCGUAGUUGGAUUUCGGGGCAGCCUGGCUGGUCCGCCGCAAGGCGAGUACUGGUCAGCCGCCCUUCCUCUCGAAAGCCCCGACUGCUCUUCGUUGCAGUGGUCGGGUAGUUCGGGACGUUUACUUUGAAAAAAUUAGGGUGUUCAAGGCAGGCCUACGCCUGAAUACAUUAGCAUGGAAUAAUGGAAGAGGACCUCGGUCCUAUUUUGUUGGUUUCCAGGGCCGAAGUAAUGAUUAAGAGGGACAGUUGGGGGCAUUCGUAUUUAAUUGUCAGAGGUGAAAUUCUCGGAUUUAUGAAAGACGAACAACUGCGAAAGCAUUUGCCAAGGAUGUUUUCAUUAA
rnacentral:rRNA from 1 species